CCUACGGGAGGCAGCAGUGGGGAAUAUUGCUCAAUGGGCGCGAGCCUGAACCAGCCAAGUAGCGUGAAGGAUGACUGCCCUACGAGUUUUAACCUUCUUUUAUAAAGGAAUUAAGUGCGGCACGUAUGCCUUUUUGUAUGUCCUUUAUGAAUAAAGAUCGGCUGACGCCGUGCCAGCAGCCGCGGUAAUACGGAGGAUCCGAGCGUUAUCCGGAGUGAUUGGGUGUAACGGGAGCGUAGAUGGGUUGUUAAGUCAGUUGUGAAAGUUUGUGGCUCAACCGUAAAAUUGCAAUUGAUACUGGUAGUCUUGAGUACAGGUGAGGUAGGCGGAAUUCGUGGUGUAGCGGUGAAAUGCGUAGAUAUCACGAAGAAUUCCGAUUGCGAAGGCAGCCUACUAAACUGCAACUGACACUGAUGCUCGAAAGUGUGGGUAUCAAACAGGAUUAGAUACCCUUGUAGUC
rnacentral:rRNA from 1 species